GGAUAGCUAAGUAGGUAGAGCCUGAGACUCUUAAUCUCAGAGUUGUGGGUUCAAGCCCCAUGUUGGGCA